GUAAAUAUUUGGCAAACCUGUCGAAAGAUGGGGACGCAAAGCUAUGGGUCUAAGGACAGAGGUCUAUGAUUGCCAGGUUGCCGUU
rfam:Pelosinus fermentans B4 ctg6, whole genome shotgun sequence.